CCUGCUAUGGUAUAACUUAGUGGCAGACGGGUGAGUAAUGUAUAGGAAUCUACCUAGUAGUACGGAAUAAUUGUUGGAAACGGCAACUAAUACCGUAUACGCCCUACGGGGGAAAAAUUUAUUGCUAUUAUAUGAGCCUAUAUUAGAUUAGCUAGUUGGUGGAGUAAUAGCCUACCAAGGCAAUGAUCUAUAGCUGAUCUGAGAGGAUGAUCAGCCACACUGGAACUGAGAUACGGUCCAGACUUCUACGGGAGGCAGCAGUGGGGAAUAUUGGACAAUGGGCGAAAGCCUGAUCCAGCCAUGUCGCAUGAGUGGAGAAGGCUUUUGGGUUGUAAAGCUCUUUUAGUGAGGAAGAUAAUGACGGUACUCACAGAAGAAGU
rnacentral:rRNA from 1 species